rnacentral:rRNA from 1 species
GACGAACGCUGGCGGCGUGCUUAACACAUGCAAGUCGAGCGGUAAGGCCCUUUCGGGGGUACACGAGCGGCGAACGGGUGAGUAACACGUGGGUGACCUGCCUCAGAGUGGGGGAUAACGUCCCGAAAGGGACGCUAAUACCGCAUAACAUCCUGCCUUUGGAAAGGCGGAGAUCAAAGCCGGGGAUCGCAAGACCUGGCGCUUGGAGAGGGGCCCGCGUCUGAUUAGCUAGUUGGUAGGGUAAUGGCCACCAAGGCAACGAUCAGUAUCCGGCCUGAGAGGGCGGACGGACACACUGGGACUGAGACACGGCCCAGACUCCUACGGGAGGCAGCAGUGGGGAAUUGUUCGCAAUGGGCGCAAGCCUGACGACGCAACGCCGCGUGGAGGAUGAAGAUCUUCGGGUCGUAAACUCCUGUCGAGCGGGACGAACACCUAUCCAGCUAACAUCUGGACUGGCUGACGGUA